rnacentral:rRNA from 1 species
AAUGGGCGAAAGCCUGACCCAGCAACGCCGCGUGAGGGAUGAAGGCCCUCGGGUCGUAAACCUCUGUCGGGAGGGAAGAAGUGCACAGGACGAAUAGCCCUGUGAGCUGACGGUACCUCCAAAGGAAGCACCGGCUAACUCCGUGCCAGCAGCCGCGGUAAUACGGAGGGUGCGAGCGUUGUUCGGAAUCAUUGGGCGUAAAGCGCGUGUAGGCGGCUUGGCAAGUCGGAUGUGAAAUCCCGGGGCCCAACCCCGGAACUGCAUUCGAAACUGCCUCGCUAGAGUCCCGGAGAGGAUGGCGGAAUUCCCGGUGUAGAGGUGAAAUUCGUAGAUAUCGGGAGGAACACCAGUGGCGAAGGCGGCCAUCUGGACGGUGACUGACGCUGAGACGCGAAAGCGUGGGGAGCAAACAGGAUU